ensembl:lncRNA
CACGACUAUAGCUAACGAGCCAGCACGAGAGAGAAGACGGGAGAAGAAAACAUCGAACUUUCAGCAACUACGUUGUUAGGACAAAUUACAAACAUACGAUUUCAAGUGUUUUUUGAGGAUCUGUGUUUGUUCGUCAGAAAGUCUGCACGCUACUCAGCUACUUUGAAGAGAAGGAGGAGUCCAUGCUUCUCUGUGUUGAAGAUACAUGUCUGGCAGAUGAGGUACAACUGGAGCAAGUGCCUCUGACACCCACUAUUAUCAUGUGUGGACAGUCCUGCUAUUCCUCAAGAAGAUACAUGCUGAGUGUUGAUCGGCACCUCGUCAGCACAAACAUAUCCUCCUUCAUUUCUGCACUGUGCCUCAUGUUCGGGAGCUACUACAAUUUCAACAUCCAUUAUCCAUCUGAGCUGGCUUCCACUUUAGAGUUUCUUCAGAGGUGUUUCUUCUCCAUAAACCCAGAAAAAGGAACCAAAGUAGAGAACAAAAACUCAAAGCGUCGUCUCAGUGUGAACCCUCGAGUCCUCACCCUGAUUUAGGAUCUCGCCGACCACGAGUGGCGCUAAGCCUAAAUCUUGACUCUCUGUGGACUGUUAGUUUUACUUUGUUAAUUUUGUUCCACAAUGUGUACUGGAACCUUUUACUGGUCGAAUGCAUGAAGCCAAUUCAUGAAGAUGUUCUUUCUUUGUAGGAAUGUUCUUUAUUUACAUAAGAAAAGAAAAAAAACAACAUGCUGCUACUGCAGUGUUUCUAGACCACAUGUGUAGGUUUGUUUCACCACGUGGUUUUGCUGAUGUUUUCUGACCAGGGCCAUGGUUGUGGUGACAGCAGGGUGCGUGUUGCGUUGCACGGUGAUUAUGAUCAUUUUUGGCACAAUAUGUGUUUUUUGUUUUAAAGUCUUAACAGGUUAUUUAACUUUUUCUGGUGGAGGGUCUAACAAAUGCUUGUUUCAUGAACAUGGUUCUUGCUUUGCAGGAAUGUUCCACAGCUUUUAUAGCCUAUAUUUUGAUUGAAUUGUGUAGUUGCUGUGUGCCUUGCAUAUUGUGUUAGUUGGAAAAAUGGAUCCAUUUGCU